rnacentral:rRNA from 1 species
GCGUGCUUAACACAUGCAAGUCGAACGAAGCACUCAGGAGCGACUUCGGUCAAUCCUGUUUGACUUAGUGGCGGACGGGUGAGUAACGCGUGAGGAACCUGCCUCGCAGUGGGGAAUAACAGUUGGAAACGACUGCUAAUACCGCAUAAUGCACCGAGAUCGCAUGGUCUUGAUGCCAAAGAUUUAUCGCUGUGAGAUGGCCUCGCGUCUGAUUAGCUAGUUGGUGAGGUAACGGCCCACCAAGGCGACGAUCAGUAGCCGGACUGAGAGGUUGAUCGGCCACAUUGGGACUGAGACACGACCCAGACUCCUACGGGAGGCAGCAGUGGGGAAUAUUGGGCAAUGGGCGCAAGCCUGACCCAGCAACGCCGCGUGAAGGAAGAAGGCUUUCGGGUUGUAAACUUCUUUUAUUAGGGACGAUAAUGACGGUACCUAUUGAAUAAGCUCCGGCUAACUACGUGCCAGCAGCCGCGGUAAUACGUAGGGAGCAAGCGUUAUCCGGAUUUACUGGGUGUAAAGGGCGUGUAGGCGGGACUGCAAGUCAGAUGUGAAAACUAUGGGCUCAACUCAUAGCCUGCAUUUGAAACUGUAGUUCUUGAGUGCUGGAGAGGCAAAUGGAACUCCUAGUGUAGCGGUGAAAUGCGUAGAUAUUAGGAAGAACACCAGUGGCGAAGGCG